GACGAACGCUGGCGGCGUGCCUAAUACAUGCAAGUCGAGCGGACUUAAAAAGCUUGCUUUUUAAGUUAGCGGCGGACGGGUGAGUAACACGUGGGCAACCUGCCUGUAAGACUGGGAUAACUUCGGGAAACCGGAGCUAAUACCGGAUAAUCCUUUCCUACUCAUGUAGGAAAGCUGAAAGACGGUUUACGCUGUCACUUACAGAUGGGCCCGCGGCGCGUUAGCUAGUUGGUGAGGUAACGGCUCACCAAGGCGACGAUGCGUAGCCGACCUGAGGGGGUGAUCGGCCAGACUGGGACUGGGACCCGGCCCAGACUCCUACGGGAGGCAGCAGUAGGGAAUCUUCCGCAAUGGACGAAAGUCUGACGGAGCAACGCCGCGUGAGUGAUGAAGGUUUUCGGAUCGUAAAUCUCUGUUGUUAGGGAAGAACAAGUACGAGAGUACUGCUCGUACCUUGACGGUACCUAACCAGAAAGCCACGGCUAACUACGUGCCAGCAGCCGCCGUAA
rnacentral:rRNA from 1 species